UACGGAGGGGGCUAGCGUUGUUCGGAAUUACUGGGCGUAAAGCGUACGUAGGCGGCUUUGUAAGUUAGAGGUGAAAGCCCGGGGCUCAACUCCGGAAUUGCCUUUAAGACUGCAUCGCUUGAAUCAUGGAGAGGUGAGUGGAAUUCCGAGUGUAGAGGUGAAAUUCGUAGAUAUUGGGAAGAACACCGAUGGCGAAGGCAGCCAUCUGGACCGAGACUGACGCUGAGGCGCGAAAGCGUGGGGAGCAAACAGG
rnacentral:rRNA from 1 species